UCGCCCACCAUUCGCACAUCAUAUCAGCGGCAUAAUGGAAAAUAUUCAAUUUAGUAGUAUUAGUAAAAGUGGCUGUAAAGUAGAAUAUUUGCCCUACGUCUGGUUGCCAAGAAGGUGGAGGACGAAGAAGAUAAAUCAGGUAUUGCGGUUCAUAUACGAAUCUCGGAAUUCUCAAAUCGUUUCGUUUAGUGCAAAUAACCUUAAAAACCAAUUUUUUGGGGUCACAGUUUUGAUGGUAGACAAGAACGCUCUACAAUUUGAAAGUGCUUUCCUUUUCGUAUUAAUUAUAUAUCCGCAGUUUGUUCUCUGAUGCCUGGUGUGUGAUAUUACUUCUGUUUUGAAUUUUGCAGCAAUUUGAAUUCGGAUCUUCACACAUUAAAAGAUGGUACCUUUAACAUAAUUGCUAUAGAUAUUAGGGUUUUUAUUUUUCAUUAAUAUUGUUUUUUGGUUUGAUUAUGAAACUGCAGAAUGAUUUAUCCCUGCCUUGAUUUUUUUUUUCUGUCUCAGCUCCCACUCUCUCUGCUCAAGACUGCACAGGGGCAUCCCAUGGUAUCUCUCUCUCCCUCUGUUUGUGCGUGCGUGUGUGUUCAUGUCUGUGUUAUAUGUCUCUUAACUGCAGAAACAACAACAACUACUACGCUUCAAGCCCAAACUUGUUGGGUUCACCUAUAUGCUUCCUUGGUAUCUUUCUUUUUUUUCAAACAUUGAUACCUAUUAUGUUCUAUUUCGACCUUUUUCAUUCCAAUGCCCAAUAAUGUGUCUUUUGAAAACACAUUAGGGUUGUCUAGAAUUUGCCCCAAGGGCUUAAGUCAAGUGACAAAGUUUGAGGGACUUAUGACUUAGGUCACAGGUUGGAGCCUUCCACCAUGCAAACUAAGCCUAGUGCUUAAGUUGAAAAGGGCAGAAGCAGUAUUGUCAAAGGCUCAGGCCUGAAGCUUAGAAAAGCUUGAGGAGAGUGCUUCGCGUUGCUUAAGUUGCGCUUCAGAGUAGGCAAGGCUCUAAGGCGUGGACACCUAUUGCCCAUGAAUUCUAUCUUGAAUUGAGCGGUACUAAACAAUACAAUUU
rnacentral:lncRNA from 1 species